rnacentral:rRNA from 1 species
UGUGUGGGGACAACGUUUCGAAAGGAACGCUAAUACCGCAUACGUCCUACGGGAGAAAGUGGGGGAUCUUCGGACCUCGCGCUGUCAGAUGAGCCUAGGUCGGAUUAGCUAGUUGGUGAGGUAAGGGCUCACCAAGGCGACGAUCCGUAACUGGUCUGAGAGGAUGAUCAGUCACACUGGAACUGAGACACGGUCCAG